CGAGUAGCGAUCCAGUGGAGCGGUUACCCGAUUUGGAAUCGGGGUUAUUGUAGGUUCAACUCCUACCUAUUCGAC
rnacentral:tRNA from 1 species